GACGAACGCUGGCGGCGUGCUUAACACAUGCAAGUCGAACGGAAAGGCCCUGCUUUUGUGGGGUGCUCGAGUGGCGAACGGGUGAGUAACACGUGAGUAACCUGCCCUUGACUUUGGGAUAACUUCAGGAAACUGGGGCUAAUACCGGAUAGGAGCUCCUGCUGCAUGGUGGGGGUUGGAAAGUUUCGACGGUUGGGGAUGGACUCGCGGCUUAUCAGCUUGUUGGUGGGGUAGUGGCUUACCAAGGCUUUGACGGGUAGCCGGCCUGAGAGGGUGACCAGCCACAUUGGGACUGAGAUACGGCCCAGACUCCUACGGGAGGCAGCAGUGGGGAAUAUUGCACAAUGGGCGGAAGCCUGAUGCAGCAACGCCGCGUGCGGGAUGACGGCCUUCGGGUUGUAAACCGCUUUCGCCUGUGACGAAGCGUGAGUGACGGUAAUGGGUAAAGAAGCACCGGCUAACUACGUG
rnacentral:rRNA from 1 species